AAGAAAGUCAGUCAUACAAGUUUGGAAUGUCAUGAGGGAUGAUGACCAGCCGUGAUUGAGCUUUGGAAACCUGUUUUUAACCUCCAGCUAAACUGCUCAUCCAUGAUCAGUCAAUGGCAGUGGGGCCCAAGGAGGACGAUUGGAUGGGUGUGUGCCUGGUCACCCGUGAGUGCCAUCCAAGGUCUCCUCUGGAGCCCAGCCAACCUUUAUUACUGAACAGAAGAGGGAAACGGGCCUGUCACAGGAAAGUGAUAAAGCACCAUUACCACACUGCAGAGGAGGAAUGAGGACAGCCUGCUCUGACACAACUCCUUUCAUAAAGAGCUUCGCUCUUAACAUAUUGGACAGCCAGUCAAAGAACUCCAGCAAAGAACAAAAUGACUAGUCCGGCGAAAUCCUUUACUGGUAUUGACAUACCCUCUUUCAUUACACCCCACUGUGCUGUACUGCACCACAGGAAGGGCUCAGACUCAAAAUCUUUGCAUGACAGAUGAAAUAUUUCAUUUCACAAAGCAAGUAAUUUGCACCAUAAUAUGAUGAAUCUGAACGAUCUGGGCAUAAGAGAAAGUAGUUGCACACACACAUAU